rnacentral:rRNA from 1 species
AGUGAACGCUGGCGGCGUGCUUAACACAUGCAAGUCGAACGAGAACGGGCUAUAGCUUGCUAUAGUUGUCAGCUAAGUGGCGCACGGGUGAGGAAUGUAUAGGUAAUAUGCCUCUUACUAAGGGAUAACAAAUGGAAACGUUUGCUAAUACUUUAUACUCUUUAUUAGCUGAGGUUAAUAUGGGAAAGAUUGAUUGGUAAGAGAUUAGCUUGUAUUGUAUCAGUUAGUUGGUUGGGGAAUGGCUUACCAAGACUAUGACACAUAACUGGUUUGAGAGAAUGAUCAGUCACACUGGAACUGAGACACGGUCCAGACUCCUACGGGAGGCAGCAGUGGGGAAUAUUGCACAAUGGACGAAAAUCUGAUGCAGCAACGCCGCGUGGAGGAUGACACAUUUCGGUGCGUAAACUCCUUUUAUAUGAGAAGAUAAUGACGGUAUUAUAUGAAUAAGCACCGGCUAACUCCGUGCCAGCAGCCGCCGUAA